AUUUGGUGAAACCCUGCUUCUACUAAAAAUACAAAAGUUAGCCGGGCGUGGUGGUGCGCGCCUGUAAUCCCAGCUACUCAGGAGGCUGAGGCAGGAGAAUCGCUUGAACCCGGGAGGUGGAGAUUGCAGUGAGCCGAGAUUGUGCCACUACACUCCAGCCUGGGCGACACAGCAAGACUCUGUCUCAAAAGAAAAAAAAGAAAAAAAGAAAAGAAAAAAGAAAAACAAAAAAGGGGUACGUAAAUUUGGCAUAAACCUGGAAACUCAAUACUGUUAAAUUGGACCAAAACUCCUAAUGAAUUUACUUAUUUCAACCACUUUAUUCAAAUAUACAUAUCCUACACAAUACACCCAGUUAAAGUGCAUAAUUCAUAGGUAUAGUAUAUUCACAGAUACAUGCAAUCAUCACCACAGUGGAUUUGCAUCACCUCAAAGAGAAACCCCUGUACCCUUUAGGUAUCCACUCCCCCAAUCCUCCCAUUUUUUUUACUCAACACCCAGCCCUAGGCAGUCAGCAAUUGACUUUCUUUCUCAGCAGAUUUCUCUGCUCUGGACUUUCAUGUGAAUGAAAUCAUACCAUACGGGGAAUUUUUAACUGGGUUUCAUUUACUAUAGUUUUUUGAAGGGAUAUCCAUGUUGUAGUAUGGUCCUGUACAUCAUUUAGAUUUAUGAUGGAAUUAUUAAUAUUUUCCAUUGUCUGGCUAUUACAUAUUUUAUCCAUGCAUUCAAUGAUGGAUUAUUUGGUUUCCACCUUUUGGCUGUCAUGAAUAACACUGCUAUAAACAUUCAUGCCCAAGGUCUUGUGUGGACAUAUGUUUCUAUUUAUUUCUACCUACAACAAAAACUGAUGUCACAUGGAAAUUCUGUUUAGUAGUUUCUUUUAAAUUUAAAAGGUUUGAAGAUUUAUUAUUUUUUUCUUGUGGCAAAAACUCUUAAGAUUAAAUAUAACGGCUGGGAUGGUCUCGAUCUCUUGACCUUCUGAUACACCUGCCUCGGCUGCCCAAAGUGCUGGGAUUACAGGCGUGAGCCACCGCGCCCAGCCUGGAAUUCUUAACAGGACCAUUAGGAUUAAAUAAAUUUUACUGGGGGUCUGAAGAAAUGAUGUAAUCAAGCGCCCGGCUUGAUUACAUCAUUGGAUAUUGGUGAUAGACUUAAACUUCAGCACCUCUCUCCUCCAGGUGAGGCAGGGAACUUAAGGCCAAUUUGUGCUGACUUCCUAAAGCUGGGUCAAAGGAAAACACCAAGGUCUUGGGGCAGAGAAUCUAAGGCCAAUUAACGCCAACUGCCUAAAGCUAAACCAAAAGAAAAAACCCCAUCUCCCCAAGCCUGGAGCAGCAAAGGAUGGAAGGCUACUUUCCCUCCAGCCCUCCCACUUCCACCAACAUCUCAGAUGGAAAGUGCCCUGGAUUGGCUGCGGGCCAAGCAUGGCCCAUCCCUUCAUCUUCAGAGGGCACCAAUUCACCUCAGCCUUUAAUUAGCCACCAGCCAAAUCCUUCAUCCAGAUAAGGGGUAACUGAUGGGGACCUUGAAAGGAGUACUUAAAACCCAGAAAACUUUGUAACUGGUCCCUUGAGCUGCUUGCUCGGGCUCACUUCCACCCUGUAAUGUGCUUUCUCCCUUUAAUAAAUCCUUGCAUUUGCGGCUUCGGUCCUGGGUUUCGUUCCUUUGUGUGUUUUCUUCAGUUCUUUGUUCAAAAACUCCAAGGACCUGGACAACUCACACUCAUGGCCUUCCUUCCAGUAACACAGGGGAGUCAGGGGUGAAGCAGAGUAUCCUAACCAUCUAAUCACAUGGUUGUUUCCCCUGGCAACCACCCCAUCCUGAGGCUAUGCACGGCCCGCAGUCACUAGUCACCUCAACAUCACUUUGAUUCCAAGGCUUUUAGGAGCUGUAGGCCAAGGAAACAGGAACAAACCAAAAUAAAUAUUUCAUAAUAUCACAGAUGUCUUUCUAGGUAUUUGUAUCUUUCUUUCUUUUUUUUUUUUUUGAGAUGGAGUUUCCCUCUUGUCGUCCAGGCUGGAGUGCAGUGGUGUGGUCUUGUCUCACUGCAACCUCUUCCUCCUGGGUUGAAGUGAUUCUCCUGCCUCAGCCUCCUGAGUAGCUGGGACUACAUGCACGCACCACCACGCCCGGCUGAUUUUUGUAUUUUUGGUAGAGACGGGGUUUCACCAUUAUUGGCCAGGCUGGUCUCAAACUCCUGACCUCAGGUGAUCCACCUGCCUCGGCCUCCCAAAGUGCUGAGAUUACAGGUGUGAGCCACUGCGCCCAGCCUCUUUAGUUUCUUUUAGCAAUGCUUUGUAGCUUUCAGUGUAGAAGUCUUUUAUUUUCUUGGUUACAUUUAUUCUCAAGUAUUUGUUUUUGUGCCAUUGUAAAUGGGAUUGUUUUCUUAAUUUUCUUUUCUGCCUGGUCACCACUAGUGUGUAGAAACACAAUUCAUUAUUAUUUUUCUUGCUGAUUUUGUUUUUUUCGCCUUUGCUGAAAUCCCAUAGAGUCAGCCCUCCAUAUUCCUGGGUUCUGCAUCUAUGGAUUCAACCAGCUACGAAUUGAAAAUAUUCAGAAAAAAAUUGGAUGGCUGUGUCUGUAAUGAAUAUGUGCUUUUUUCCCCCUUAUUAUCUCCUAAAUGACUUAUUAUAAAAACUAUUUACACAGCAGUUGCAUUGUAUUAGGUAUUAUAAAUAACCUACAGAUGAUUUAAAGUAUAUAGGAAGAUGAGUGUAGGUUAUGAGAAAAGAACUUUUAUCUGAAGAAUGUGAGACUGUGGCAGGCCAGGUCUCACUAACGCAGGCCUCCAUAACAACUGUUUCAGUACUGACUGAGUGGUUAAGUUAAAUAUUAAAAGCCAGCGCCCUUACAUAAGGGCUGGGAUGUAACAAAAGCCCACCAAAAAGUUUCUCCUAGGCCUGCCUUUCUUGGGCUUUAAUGCAUGACAACAAUAAUGAAGGAAUUUUUUUUUUUGAGAUGGAGUCUCACUCUGUUGCCCAGCUGCGAUCUCGGCUCACUGCAACCUCUGCCUCCCAGGUUCAAGCAAUUCUCCCGCCUCAGCCUCCUGAGUAGCUGAGACUACAGGUGCCCGCCACCCCACCCGGCUAAUUUUUUGUAUUUUUAGUAGAGAUGGGGUUUCACCGUGUUAGCCAGGAUAGUCUCGAUCUCCUGACCUCGUGAUCCGCCCGCCUCGGCCUCCCAAAGUGCUGAGAUUACAGGGGUUAGCCACCAUGCCUGGCCAAGAAGUUGUUUUAUCUUGUUUACUGCUGAAGGUGUCAGGGUAAGGGGGGCCCAGGUGGGCUGAAGUUUCCUCUUGCUCACAGCGCAGACAGUUGCCCGGACUAAGGAAGCCGACAUCUUUGCUGUCCUGGCGCUCCGGUACCUCCAGCCAGAGCUCGGCCGCCUCAGCCUCUCUCCAUGGACAUGGCGGGCGCAUCCAGUUCAAAGAAUUUUUAAAUUUCCAUCUUGAUUUCAUCCAACGCUCAUCCAGAAACAGGUUGAUCUUUAAUUUUUAAUUUAAUUUCCAUGUAUUUAAUUUCUAAAAUUUAUUUAAUUUCCAUGUAUUUGCAUGGUUUUGAUGGUUCAUUUGGAGUUGAUUUUCACUUUUAUUCCACUGUAGUCUGAGAAAAUAGUUGAUAUAAUUUUGAUUGUCUUAAAUUUAUUGAGACUUGUGGCCUAUCAUAUGUCUAUCUUGGAAAAUGUUUCAAGUGCUGAUGAAUAAAAUGUAUAUUCUGCAGUUCUUAGGUAGAAUUUCUGUAAAUAUUUUUUAACUCCAUUUGUUCUAGGAUAUAGUUCUAAGUCCAUUUUUUGUUGUUGUUGUUGUUAUUAUUGACUUUCUGUCCUGAUGACUUGUCUAUUGCUGUCAGUAGAGUAUUGAAGUCCCUCAUUAUUAUUGUGUUGUCAUCUAUUUCAUUUCUUAGGUCUAGUAGUAAUUAUUUUAUAAAUUUGGGAGCUCCAGUGUUAGGUGCAUGUAUAUUUAGGAUUGUGAUAUUUCCCUGUUGGACUAGUCCUCUUAUCAUUAUAUAAUGUCCCUCGUUGUCUUUUUUUUUUUUUAACUGUUUUUGUUUUAAAGUCUGUUUUGUCUGAUGUAAGAAUGGCUACUACUGCUAGCUUUUGGGGUACAUUUGCAUGGAAUACCUUUUUCCAACCCUUUGCCUUAAGUUUAAGUGAGUCCUUAUGUGUUGGGUGAGUCUCUUGAAGACAGCAGAUAUUUGGCUUGUAAAAUCUUUUUUUUGAGUUGGAGUUUAGUUCUAGUCCAGGUUGGAGUGCAAUGGCGUGAUCUCCGCUCACUGCAACCUCCGCCUCCCGGGUUCAAGCGAUUCUGUUACCUCAGCCUCCUGAGUAGCUGGGAUUACAGGCAUUCACCACCAUGUCUGGCUAAUUUUUUUGUAUUUUUAGUAGAGACAGGGUUUCCCCAUGUUGGUCAGGCCGGUCUCAAACUCCCAACCUCAGGUGAUCCGCCCACCUCAGCCUCCCAAAGUGCUGGGAUUACAGGCAUGAGCCACUGCACCUGGUCUGGUAAACUCUUAUCCAUUCUGCCAUUUUGUGUCUUUUAAGUGGAGCAUUUAGGCCACUAGAUUAGUAGCAUUUAGGCCAAUAAUCACUAUCAAUUACACCACCAUACAUUACAAUGCCUGUCAUUGAAAGGCUUGAACACGUUGUAAUCCAUUCAUCUGUAUUCAAGUUUGCAGUUAUGGUGGAAACUUUGGCCUAUUGAUCAUCCUGCUGAUUAAAUAGUCUGUCAAGAGAAAGCAGAGAUGCAUGAGCAUCAACAUGGAAAACAGUGAUAAUGGUAGUGUGUGCCAGGAUUCAGAUAUCUUCCCAGUAUUGUUUUCCCCAAACCUCUUUAUUCCCAACUAACCAUUUGUUUUGUUACCACUGGGGUUUCCAGGUAGUAAGACCAUUUGCUACUGACCAAGAGUUGGUAUACAAGUGACAAAUCCUUCUGGCCUCCUCUUGAAUAGCUCGGAGGAUGGCUACUAGUUCAGCUAACUGGCUGUUCCCACCCCUUUCUUCAUCAGAAAUGUUUAUGUUUUUAACAGGAUUAUAAGCCAUGGCCUUCUAGUAUCUGGUCCCACCAAUGUAUUUGGUGGAUCCAUCCAUAAACCAAGCAUGUUUCUGAUCCUCUGGGCAUAGUUCUUUGAAGGAUCUGCCCCAUUGGGCAGGGGAGGUUUCCUUCCCUAUCUGCAGGACUUGCUCGGUGAUUUCCUGAGCUGGGAAGUUUCGUACAUCCUCAUGUAAAAGUGAUACCCUCUUUGGUUUUGGUUUAGAUGGGGGACUUGUAUAUCACAAGUAGCUGUAAAUUAACCGCUAAUGCUGCACCAGACACUAUAACCCAUGUCCUAUAGCUUAACAAUGGAUAGCCAAUUACUAAUCAAUGUCAUUUCUGUAAGCCAAUGAGAAUUCCUGACGACUUUAUACCAGCCACUCCCUGUACCCCAUUUUGCCUUUAAAAACCUGCUUGUGGCCAGGUGUGGUGGCUCAUGCCUGUAAU
rnacentral:lncRNA from 1 species